rnacentral:rRNA from 1 species
UGGGGAAUAUUGCACAAUGGGCGAAAGCCUGAUGCAGCGACGCCGCGUGAGGGAUGGAGGCCUUCGGGUUGUAAACCUCUUUCAGUAAGGGUGAAGGCUCUCUUUUGUGGAGGGUUGACAGUACUUGCAGAAGAAGCCCCGGCUAAAUACGUGCCAGCAGCCGCGGUAAUACGUAUGGGGCGAGCGUUGUCCGGAAUUAUUGGGCGUAAAGGGUACGUAGGCGGUCUAUUAAGUCAGGUGUGAAAGCGUGAGGCUUAACCUCAUUAAGCACUUGAAACUGAUAGACUUGAGUGAAGGAGAGGAAAGUGGAAUUCCUAGUGUAGCGGUGAAAUGCGUAGAUAUUAGGAGGAAUACCGGUGGCGAAGGCGACUUUCUGGACUUUUACUGACGCUCAGGUACGAAAGCGUGGGGAGCAAACAGG